CAGGAUCUGGGGGACCCUUACCAAGUUGAAAAUUUUAACAGGAUCCUUAGAAGACUGAUUCGAGUUGAAACCCUUUGGUUGGUGGAUAAUUCACUCAUUGAUUUAAGUGCCAUAAGAUUGCCAAGCUGCAGAGUUUUAAAUAUGAGCAAAAACUAUCUCACGUCUUUCAAACAACUACCAAACAUACCUCAGAUACAACAUUUGUCACUGGCUGAAAACCACAUUGAGACACUGGAUGGCCUUUCCCGUUUUCGGUGCACACCACUGGAAACCCUCACCUUGAAGAGGAACCCCUGUGAAUUUCACCAAAACUACAGGAAGCAAGUGUUCUUGUGUUUGCCAAACUUAAAGAUUCUGGAUGGGAUCUUGAAGUUACCAGAAGAUUGUUCCCCUCCAGAAAAUAUUUUUUCCAAAUUAUGUAUUUUAUCAUAACCAACU